rnacentral:rRNA from 1 species
GACGAACGCUGGCGGCGUGCUUAACACAUGCAAGUCGAACGGAAAGGCCCUGCUUUUGUGGGGUGCUCGAGUGGCGAACGGGUGAGUAACACGUGAGUAACCUGCCCUUUACUUUGGGAUAACUUCAGGAAACUGGGGCUAAUACCGGAUAGGAGCUCCUGCUGCAUGGUGGGGGUUGGAAAGUUUCGGCGGUUGGGGAUGGACUCGCGGCUUAUCAGCUUGUUGGUGGGGUAGUGGCUUACCAAGGCUUUGACGGGUAGCCGGCCUGAGAGGGUGACCGGCCACAUUGGGACUGAGAUACGGCCCAGACUCCUACGGGAGGCAGCAGUGGGGAAUAUUGCACAAUGGGCGGAAGCCUGAUGCAGCAACGCCGCGUGCGGGAUGAAGGCCUUCGGGUUGUAAACCGCUUUCGCCUGUGACGAAGCGUGAGUGACGGUAAUGGGUAAAGAAGCACCGGCUAACUACGUG